GCGGGUGUAGCUCAGUGGCUAGAGCAUCUGCUUGCCAUGCAGAAGGUCGUGAGUUCGAAUCUCAUCACCCGCUCCA
rnacentral:tRNA from 2 species